rnacentral:rRNA from 1 species
UGCAGAAUCCCGUGAGCCACCGAGCCUUUGAACGCAAGUUGCGCCCGAGGCCAUCUGGCCGAGGGCACGCCCGAUUGGGCAUCGCGUAUCGUGGUGC